AUUGAACGCUGGCGGCAGGCCUAACACAUGCAAGUCGAACGAGUGGCGGACGGGUGAGUAAUGUCUGGGAAACUGCCUGAUGGAGGGGGAUAACUACUGGAAACGGUAGCUAAUACCGCAUACCAUCGGAUGUGCCCAGGUGGGAUUAGCUAGUAGGUGGGGUAAAGGCUCACCUAGGCGACGAUCGCUAGCUGGUCUGAGAGGAUGACCAGCCACACUGGGACUGAGACACGGCCCAGACUCCUACGGGAGGCAGCAGUGGGGAAUAUUGCACAAUGGGCGCAAGCCUGAUGCAGCCAUGCCGCGUGUAUGAAGAAGGCCUUCGGGUUGUAAAGUACUUUCAGCGGGGAGGCGUUACCCACAGAAGAAGCACCGGCUAACUCCGUGCCAGCAGCCGCGGUAAUAC
rnacentral:rRNA from 1 species